rnacentral:rRNA from 1 species
UACGUAGGGGGCAAGCGUUGUCCGGAUUCAUUGGGCGUAAAGAGCGUGUAGGCGGCCAGGUAGGUCGGUUGUGAAAACUGGAGGCUCAACCUUCAGAGGUCGACCGAAACCAUCUGGCUAGAGUCCGGGAGAGGAGAGUGGAAUUCCUGGUGUAGCGGUGAAAUGCGCAGAUAUCAGGAAGAACACCCGUGGCGAAAGCGGCUCUCUGGACCGACAUUGACGCUGAGGCGCGAAAGCGUGGGGAGCAAACAGG